ACAUCAGAGAAACGGAUUCCAAGAGAGACCCUGAGGGAGACAGAAAGUGAGUCAGUGACAAGGAAAAUAGUGACGGAGAAUAGACUGGAGCCAGAGAAACAGGCCAAGACGAUGGGAGGCCCAUGUAAUGCACCCCUGACGAAGAGUGUGUUAAGGCGUCGUCUGCACUGGACAGAGGCUGCUUCGCCUUGAACCCGACACACCGAUGGAAGGAGAGGCACCUGCCCACCUCUGCUCACCCAGCCCAGGCCUUAGAGUCGCUUGGUUCUCCCCAAGGACUUCCGAGCCGCGGGGGCUGGAGGUGGGCACAUCAUCACAGCGGCAUCUGCGGCCACAGGGAGAGACCUUUCUGUCACAUCCAAGGCCCCGUCCCACCUCCCUUUGUGGCCCCGACGACAAGGACUUGGUGUCUGGCAGGAGGGAUGGAAAGAAGGUGGAAAGCUGUUCCUCCAGGGCCAGAGACUCUGACUUUUUGCAAAGCUGGAGACCCACUUUGCUGGAACUGAAAACGGUUUGCAGCAACAGAUAAAGAAGCCGAAACCAGAGAGCAGUGACCAGCGAGUGCGUGGCAGAACCAGCCCCCGAUCCCAGGGCCCCUUGUUCCCAGGCUGCUGCCUACACAGAAUGGCAGGCACGACCUGCCUUGGUUUUCUCGUCCAUGAAACUGCUCACAGAACCAGGGAGCCGAGUUUGCGUCGCUGGCGUUCUGGAUGUGCCCUGAGCAUCCUGUUGGAAGCUGAGUCGUGACAAUCCACACGGAGCUCUUGGCAACGUGCCCCCGGCCUGGUGAGCGCCACAUGAGCCGCGCUUUGCGACCUCACCGUCCACACCCCCGGGAUGUAGCCCGGCCCACACCUGUGGGAACCGUGGCUCCCUGCCCCCCGUCCACACCUCCCGGCCUCCCCGGCCCUGGGAGCACCACGGCCCGUGGCUUUUUCUCCUCCCACGGCUCAGAUGAGGCACGGAGGCCCGCGGAAGGUGAGGACGGCCUCCGUGCCCCCGCGAGAAGGAGGCUCUCGGGCCCAGGCCGCGGACGCCAGAGUCGCUGCUCUUUGCGCCGCAUGGCAAAGCAGCUUCUGCCCCGGCACCGAUGCCAGGACUCCGGCCCGGCCCUCGGCCCCGGCGUGUCUGCUGGGCUCCGGGCCAUCCGAGGCCAGCCAGGGCAGGUGGGCGGGGGCCCCGAGACGGGCCGCAGUCAGUGAGGGCCGUGCAGGCGGCCUCGGUCUCCCCGGUGCCCAGGCCAUGCAGCCCCUCCCGAUCAGGGGCGGCCGCAGAGGUCAUGAGGAGCACUAACGGCCUCAGCUCCGAUGGCCCGAUUUAUGAUGACACAAGAAGCAAAUUCAGCUUCUGGCCCGAGGAGACAGCCGGCCCGUCUGCACUUCUAGAAACCCUUUUUGCAGGCAUCUGGGGGGUGGGGGCUUCUACCCCACACAUGCAAGGCCUGCGGCCCCGGGCAGAGCCAGGCUGGGCCAUCUGUCUUCUCAUGCCUCCGGCCGCCUUGUGCGAGAGGCCACCCCCGCUGACACGUUUCAGAGCAUUUGAAAAUCAGUGCCCCGGCCACGGGUCAGCCAUUUGGUGUUGCACCAAGGGAUCCUCCGGCCUUCACCACCACCCAGACCGGCCAUGGAGCAGAGCAGUGAGAGGCCCAGGCUUUGGGGUCAGCCUAACGUGGGGUCAAGCUGGAGCCCCAGCUCAGCCAUACAAUGGCUGUGACCCUGAGUGAGUGCAGUGCCUUCCCGGGCCUCCGUUUCCUCGUCCCCGGAAUGAAGGGACACCGGCUCCUAGCACACUCCCCCUGCUGUGAGGAAUUCUGAGCGGUCACCGAGGCCCCACCCACAGCCCAGGAACUCACAGGGACCACGUCAGUUCACCCCAUCCUCUGCACCCAGCACAGGCCAUGCAAAUGUUUCCCGGAUGGACGCAUGAAGGCGGGGCCGGGGCGCGCGGCAGGUGACCCUCUGAACGCAAGGGAAGGACAGAGAGGUCCCAUCCUUCCGGUCCUAUCCCUCACAGCCACGAGGUAGGCAGGGGCCUCACACCCGUCGGCCAGCUAACAGACCUGUCCCCUCUUGUUCCAUGUUUGGAAGACAACCAGAGUCCCCCACAGGGGAGAGAAGAGUGGGGCCACUGUCUCAUCCUCUGCCCAACCUCUGCCUGUGCACAUGGCUGAGUUACCUGGGUCACUGUUUGCUGUAGAUGGGGCCCCACGGGGUCCCCUGCCCGCACACUCUGCAGGAGUCCCUGUGCUCUGCGGGCCCCGCACCGGCCUGUGUCUGCCUGUCCCCACUGGGGGGAGGGAUCCGGGAGAUCCCUGCGAUAGUCCAGUCUCACAGAAAGCAGCUCAUUUCAGUAUUUACCGUAUCCCGACAGGUCAGUGUGUGCAGAUCCUCUCUGUCUCUCUGUCUCUCUCUCUCCUUUCCACCCCACCUCCCACCAACAAUAUGUCAGGACGAUCGGUCCCCUCGAGCAAGGACAGUCAUACAAGCUGCCUGCGGCCGCACCUUGCCCAGUUCAACACUUGUCCAAAUCUCUGCAUUCGUUCUGCUAAAAACAAGUUCCCUCCAGAUGGGCCUUUUGUCUUUGCAGGAGGCCGGGGCUGAGGGCAGGGGGUGCCAGGUGGGGCUGCAGGAGGCUUGGCUGUGGGUGUCGUGGCCUUUCUGCCCAUAGCCAUGGACUUGAGGGGUGUUACUGACCUCGCAGAGCCUCAGCUUCCUCGUCAGCAAAGGGGGGCGAUCACAGCAGCUGCCUUGUCUGGAGGAUUCAGGGAAAGGGACAAGGAUCAUCAGCACCGUGUCAAGAAAUGAUGGUACUGGAUGGAGGAGAGGAUGCCUUCUCGUUUGGUCCUCAGGGCAGCCUGGGAGGCGGGUGUCCUGACGCAAACAGGAACCUGAGGGUCAGCAAGAUGAGCUGGGGGGCCCGGGGCACACUUCCUGGUGACAGGAGGCACUGGGACUUGAACGUGCUCUAUUCACCUCCAAAGCCCAUCCCAAUGGCUCAGGUGCAUCCAUGGAGGGGACAUCUGGCCCCCUGGGAUGCUCAGCUGCUGGGGAUCCCGGGCCACCAUGAUGUGAGGUUGGCCACUCUUCCUCACCUGAGCCCAGGAGGAGGCUGCAUACCACAGCAAGGACAGCUCUCCAUCCAAGGGGGCAGAUUCGGGACCUUGUGAGCCACCAGGGCACUAGGCUCCUGGUCCUGGAGCUGCUCCCUACUCCCAGGGGGACCUUGGGUGAGAGCAGCCUGAUUCUGAGCCCCCUGCAUUCCUGGAUGAACUGGCGUCCUGGUCGCACGUGGUGUGCUCGCCUCCAAAGGUAAGCCUUCCCAGUCAGGGACUCCCCGAGUUACUGGUGUCGGGGUAGCCGUGUCUCUGCUCUGACUCUUGGGUCCGGGCCCUCGAGUAGGACCCCCGAUGGCAUCCUGACCUCCCUGCCACUUGCUGGACAUUUCUCUAUGAAAUGAAUCCCACGGUACGCCUGGAGACAGGAUUAACUAGCCUUAUGAGGGGUCACCUCUGGAUAUAGUAAAGUUCCCUGAGUUUUACCUGUUACGGGAUUCCCCGCUGGACGUGGACACAGAGCUGGACAGGACCACAGGGAUUAUCUGUUCAAACACUUUGUUUUAAAGCUGGGGAAACAGGGGGGCCUCUGCCUCAGCCCCAGGCCUGGUCUCCGCAUCUCCUGCAGCUGCCGGGCUCCGCCUUGCUGCCCGGGGGCUCCCCUGCCCCACCCAGACCCCCACAGCAUCACCUGCUCUCGGUUUUCCGACCGGUCCCAGAGAGCGCUGAUUCUGAGUCUUCACCUUUGGGCGUGAAUCAUCCUGGAAGCGUCGCAAGCCCUUUCUGGGGCCCCGUGUCUGUUCUCUCGUCCUCAUGAGAAACAGGUUCCGAGUCGUUAGUCUGUUCACAAGAAAACCGAGGCCCAGCGGGGCGGGCCCUGCUCAAGGCCACACGGGGCUCCUGGCCCAUUUGUCACCGCAACCCGAUUCACCUGCCGAGCCUCAGUGAGGCUUUGAGACUCCAUUUCCCAGUGGGGGUCAUGAGGUCAAGUUCACCAGUUCCCCAUCCACAUUCUGGCCCCAAAUACAGAGGCAUUAUGGGGUUACUGUAGGGCUCCCCAGCUUCCUCUUCUGAUCACUUAAAAUAACAAACUUCAUUGUUUUCAAACUUCAUUGUGGUUCAUUCUUGCCGCAAAAAAGUAGCACCAAAGGACAAAGAAUCUAAAAUCCUUAAAAUGCACCCCAAGUAACACUUAUGUCAGGAAGACUCUCUGCCUGGCCCUCGCCUUCACCACUUGCCACCCCUGAUUCACUUCCACCCGCUCUGUCCUGCUGGGCGCGGGGAGGAGGCCUGGACGGA